AUGGACAAGAUUUGUGCUUUGUUGCUCAACGCUCUUCUUACACUCCGUCCUCAUCAAGACGGAGCCGCUCAAGUCGACACUCUGACUACACCAUCUCUGGCUCAAGUACACCGACAUCCAAUACUGUUUGACGUGCCACGCGCCAAGAUCGUCAAGAAAACCGCAACCCUCUACACGACGUCUCAAGAACAACGACAUCGUAAAAACCAAGCUACCUUUGCGCAAGCACGAGAACGGCAACGCCAACGCCAACACGAAGAGGAAGAGCGAGCGCACCUACACCAAGAUGCACAAGAUGUCGAGGCACAACGUCAAGAACAACAAUUGCGAGAAUAUCAAGCACUUGAGGCGCAACAAGCCCUCCGAGAUUCAAGUCGAGCCGUGGCCAACCGAGGUCGACAAGCUCGUGAGCAUCAAGAAGCGCUCUGUGGUGAAGUCCACGAGCGAAUAUAUCAAGCUCGCGUGCAUCAUCAAGCUCGACAAGUUCCUGCACAAUCUCGCCAAGAACAUCAAGUUCAACAAGAUCAAGAAGACAUUCGAAAUCCUCCGUGA
rnacentral:rRNA from 1 species